GUGAGGGAAAGCAGGCCAAGUCUGGGGGAGCAGCUCCCACACCACCUCAGCCAGGGCCGCACUCGGAGACUUCUGGGAGGCUGGAGGUGGGGGCAGGGGACCGAGGAGGAAGAGGAGCAAAAGGUGGCGCCGGAGAAGCAGGGGCGGCUCCGGCUGCGGAAGGGCAGGGUCGUCGCCGUCAGCCCAAGAGCCCUAUUGCUGCGCGGCUAUGUUGCCUGAGACCAAACUUGCAAAGGAUCACAAAUCUGGGAAGCUUCGAUUCUACAAGAAGACCACAAGGGGGCGAGGGUGUUCCUGCCAACUUGGAACCUGAUCUGUCUCCACAUUUAAAAUGUCGGGCCAGGGAUUCCACACAAGCGCAAGAAUGUUUUAGCUGUGUGUGGUGGUGCACACCUGUAC